rnacentral:RNase_P_RNA from 1 species
AGGAAAGUCUAGUCCCUUGUAAGUAAACGCACAGCGUUGUGAACACGGCAACGUUAGCGCUUAGGUAAGUGAGUGAGAUCUGAGUCUAUGCCUCUCGCAGCGAGAACGAAAGCGUUCGCCCCUCCGAAGUUUGCUUGAGGGUAAGAUUAAAUGCGCUGAAUGUCGCUUGAUUUUAUCCAGAAAAAUUGCCGCGGGUGGAUUAUUCAUUCAACUGAACUUAGCUUACCGCU